CAUCAUAGAAUGUCAUAGAGGUGAUGCCGGUAGGCGUUUGUUUUGCUGCGCUUUCUGCCGUUGGUGCUUUGCACGGCUUUCCCAUGGCUUUCCAUUGAGGCAGGAUGCAGUUGUAUGUUCUAUCGGCGUGCCACCGUGCCAUGCUUGCUAGCAUGUAUCGCUAGCCUUCACCUGUUUCACCUGAAUAGCUCGCACGCGCAGUUGAUCAAGAACACGGCUCCGGAUCGGAUCGUAGUCUGUACCACGGUGGUCCGUACUGAAUGCGUGUCGGUACGUGGAUGUAGCGCACAGAAAACACGCUGGGGAUCGGUUCUUUACGUGAACGUUCUGCAUAGCCCCCGCCACGGACUGCAAUUAGUGGAUGUAGCAGUACGACGUAGCACGUACAAAAAGACAGGCGAAUAAGGCAAUCGGGACGUCUCCGCUUCUCUUCUCUUGUCCGUGUUACGCCGCGCUAAUUGACUAAAUUCGCUGCCCAGGUAUAGCUAUGAAUGCCCACCAGCUUGCCCGCCUUUCACUCAUUCUGCAAUAGCAAGAGAUUGCUUCGGAGGUUAAACGUGGUUAAACUUCAUGCCGGCGUCACUUCGACGUAUCGAUCGCUCGUGGUGUGUGUCAUGCGCGAACGAUCAAAAAUUCAAAUUUGGUUUCUUCUAACGGAGGCUGCACACGCAGUCACGAAGCAAGUUCUCAAAUGACAAAUAUUGAAAAGCUACCCGCGCGUUAUUUGCUCGCAAAACUGUGCCUCUUUCUCGAAAUGCGCAAGAGUGUGCAGUGUGCAAGAGACUGCAUAACGUACAUGUAUUCGCUGCUCGCUAACGGUGCUAUAGAACAAUGGUUGUUUUUAUAAUAGAAAAAUUGAACAGUGAAUGUAACAGUAUUCAUAAUGUUCAGCUAUAAACCAGCACUUGUCCAUGCUGUCGUUCAGCAAAAUCGGCUGUGAUAGACAUUUAUGUAUAGCAAAGAGUGCUUAAUUAUUAGCAAUUAUAAUGUGCUGGAACUUACGAACUUAGCCCUGAUAUAUCAGUGACAUGUGACCGUGUGGAUGUGCUCAUUGCAAUUGAUGCAGCUGAAAUUUUUCAGAACUUAACAAUUGUUUGAAAUCGGCAUUCAACUGGCACCUUAGCUAACUUGACCUGCUGGCCGAAACAGCUCUAAACUUUUCUGCUUGAGAUGUAACGGUAUUCCUCAUUUCACAAGGCUAAUUUACUUCAACGACAAGGUACACCAAGGGAACAAUACAAACAAGAAGAAACAACUUGUACAAGAAUUGACAUGGAAAGUGCCACUACAUAUGCGAAGCAUGAUUUGUAGCAGUGAGAUAAGUUAUUGUGAACUGAACAUUUGUGAUCUGAUAAAGUGUCCGCUAGAUUGUCCAGUUUUCUCCCUUCCGUUAUUUAAGUAAUAUAAGUAUAAAUAUGUAAGUACACAUUUAUCAGACGACAGUGCUGGGUGCCUCAGCUAACAUGCACAAAGUUUUCAUUUUUUUUUUCUUUUUACCCAAGCGUUCUAUGUAGACGAAACAAACUGGUUCAAUCAAUUUAUCAUUUUAUAUCCCUUGUACCCGUAGGAGUUCACCCCAUUGGCUAUGGCGUUGCACUGCAGAGCUCGAAGUUUGAUCCCAGCCAUCCGGUGGCCGCAUUUCGACGGAGAGUGAAAUUAUGCAAAAGCACUUGUAUAAUCUACAGGUACACGUUUAAAGAACCCCAGUUGGCCAAAAUUAAUGUGGAGUCUCCCACGGCCUGGCAAUCAUGUCGUGGCUUAAUUAGUACGUAAAAACCCAUAAUUGAAUUAAGUUUGCCUGUUAGGUCAAUGCAGUGAGUUUCUUUCUAAGGCUACUGUUUUUGUGAACGGUCCGUACCUCUACCUUAAGUUGCGUACAAUAAACUUUUCCUUAUCUGUAUGUCGGAACCUGAAGAAGCGUGUCGUUCUUGUUAUUACUCCUAAUUAAUUAUUUUGCAUAUAUUAAUUAACAAACUUUAUUUUUACACUUAAGGCAGAUAUAUGUCAGCACUAGCACAGGUUUUUUUUUUUGCCAUCCAGACAUGAUUCGAAGGCAACUCAUGCGAUGCGUGUUCACGCCACUAUUGAAAAGCUCCGAGUUGUUAAUGGCAUGCGCUACUGCUGCGUGACAAUGCCGCAAAUAUAUUAGCGCAUAGAAGUCUGCCGUUGGACGACGUCAGUAUACUUCCAUGUGUCAAGCCUGUAAUGACGCUCUGCGAGUUAAUGUGGCCGCCGUAAAUAACAUGCAUACACUUCACACGUGGCAUCGCGUAGCUGUAGUAUUUUGCCCUUGGAAACAAUAUAUAGAAGAAACGAGCCUUUCAUGCCUUGUAAGCCUGCUUGAAGAGUAAUCCAGCAAUCCAUGGCAAUAAGUGAUGAUGUCUGGUUGAAAUAGCGGGCUGUAAUUGAAUUUCUGCGAAACGGUCAGACAAUAAACUCCGACUGCUACGUUGACACCCUAAAACGACUGUGGGCCAGACUGCAAUGCACUCACAAAGAUACUCGUAAACAGGCAAUUCUGCACCACAACAAUGCUCGUCCGCACAGAAGCCAGAAAACUCGAAAAACACUGCAGCAUCUGAGGUUCACGGACAUUCUGCCUCAUCCUGCCUACAGUCCGGAUCUUGCGCCCUGCGACUUUUGUCUCUUCCCCAGACUUAAGGGUUACCUUAGGGGCCUAUGCCACAGUUGUGACACAGAGGUGGAAGUAGCAGUUCGGCAAUGGUGUCGCCAGCAGCCACCACAAUUCUUCGCCAACGGCAUGAAAAACCUUGUUUUGCAUUGGCACAAGUGUGUUGCCCGUAAUGGGGACUAUGUUGAAAACUGAUAGCACCAUUUGUAGCCGACAUUGCAAGCUUUCCACUAGUACUUGUAUCGGUGCCAUCUGUCUGACACGAAUAAAGGUAUCAGCUUGGAUAAAUUA